rnacentral:rRNA from 1 species
CCUACGUGCGGCAGCAGUAGGGAAUCUUCGGCAAUGGACGGAAGUCUGACCGAGCAACGCCGCGUGAGUGAAGAAGGUUUUCGGAUCGUAAAGCUCUGUUGUAAGAGAAGAACGAGUGUGAGAGUGGAAAGUUCACACUGUGACGGUAACUUACCAGAAAGGGACGGCUAACUACGUGCCAGCAGCCGCGGUAAUACGUAGGUCCCGAGCGUUAUCCGGAUUUAUUGGGCGUAAAGCGAGCGCAGGCGGUUAGAUAAGUCUGAAGUUAAAGGCUGUGGCUUAACCAUAGUACGCUUUGGAAACUGUUUAACUUGAGUGCAGAAGGGGAGAGUGGAAUUCCAUGUGUAGCGGUGAAAUGCGUAGAUAUAUGGAGGAACACCGGUGGCGAAAGCGGCUCUCUGGUCUGUAACUGACGCUGAGGCUCGAAAGCGUGGGGAGCAAACAGGAUUAGAUACCCCAGUAGUC